UGUGGUGGAAGCUUUGUCCUUUGCUUCUUUAUAGCUGCUACUGCUCACUUUUUGGGUCCGUGCCAUUUGUAAGAACUGUAACACUGCCGUCUUUGAGAGCUGUAACACUGGUGGGCGCUUUGGGAGGCUGAGGUAGGUGGAUCAGGAGGUCGAGAGAUUUGCGACCAUCCUGGCUAAUACGGUGAAACCCUGUAGCCACUAAAAAUGCAAAAAGAAAAAAAAAAAGCUGGCGCGGCGUGGUGGUGGGCGCGUGUAGUCCCAGCUGCUCAGGAGGAGGAGGCAGGAGAAUGGCCGGAACGGGGGAGGCGGAGCUUGCAGUGAGCCAAGACCGCGCCACUGCCCUCUGGCGUGAGGAACAGCGGGAGACUCGGUCUCAAAAAGAAAAGAGCUGUAACACUCACCACGAAGGCCCGGCUUCGUUCUUGAAGGCAGCGAGACCACGAACACCCUGGCCGGCAGCAACUGCAGACACAUAAUCACAAGAACCUGUGACGUGAACUCUUACUUACAAAUGCGCCAGGAUGUGGAUUGGAUAAGGCAGAGCUCCUCUGAAGAGGCAGGCAUGAGGGUCAGAGUGGCCGAUAUCUACUUCCUGACCCUAAGGUGGUCGCUGAACCUGGCCAUGGAACCCCAGGCACCUCAGAAGGGACACAAGAGAACACUCAGGGAACCAGAUGGCUCUGAGACCCCCUGAGGCCUUCUUCCCAUUCCAACACCAUAUCUCUUCAAACCUCAGUGGCCCAGCUGCAAGGGCAUUCAAAGGACAAUAAGAUCUUCUGAUCAUUUUUUGUGUUGGAUAGGGCAGCAUGAUAAUGUGACCCAUUACUGUGGGUAAUGACAUAGAGAAAGAAAUUCACUGGGAGUGAGCUGUGUGAGGAUGCUGAAGACCUCUGAAUGGUGAGAGUGCAUUUCAAAGUUCACAAGUUGCUUUUUCACGCAUCACCUCCCUCACAACAAUCCCGUGUAUAAUCCCCACCUUCCGGAUGAGGAAACGGAUGCAGG
rnacentral:lncRNA from 1 species